rnacentral:rRNA from 1 species
CGCGUAGGUGGUAGUGCAAGUCUGGGGUGGAAUCCCAGGGCUUAACCCUGGAACUGCCUUGGAAACUGUAUUACUUGAGUCAGUGAGGGGAGGGUAGAAUUCCUGGUGUAGCGGUGAGAUGCGUAGAUAUCAGGAGGAAGGCCUGUGGCGAAGGCGGCCCUCUGGCGCUGAACUGACACUGAGGCGCGAAAGCGUGGGGAGCAAACAGGAUUAGAUACCCUGGUAGUCCACGCCCUAAACGGUGGGUACUAGGUGUAGGGCUCGUAAGGGUUCUGUGCCGAAGCGAAAGCAUUAAGUACCCCGCCUGGGGAGUACGGCCGCAAGGUUGAA